rnacentral:rRNA from 1 species
UUGUGCCUACGGGACGCAGCAGUGGGGAAUAUUGGGCAAUGGGCGCAAGCCUGACCCAGCAACGCCGCGUGAAGGAAGAAGGCUUUCGGGUUGUAAACUUCUUUUCUCAGGGACGAAGAAAGUGACGGUACCUGAGGAAUAAGCCACGGCUAACUACGUGCCAGCAGCCGCGGUAAUACGUAGGUGGCAAGCGUUAUCCGGAUUUAUUGGGUGUAAAGGGCGUGUAGGCGGGAGGGCACGU